GACAGAGGAGGCAAGCGUUGUUCGGAAUCAUUGGGCUUAAAGGGCGUGUAGGCGGCAACGCAAGUGUCGAGUGAAAUCCCAUCGCUCAACGAUGGAACGGCUCGGCAAACUGGGUGGCUUGAGGGCGGUAGGGGUGCUCGGAACUCUAGGUGGAGCGGUGAAAUGCGUAGAUAUCUAGAGGAACGCCUGAGGCGAAAGCGGGGCACUGGGCCGAGUCUGACGCUGAGACGCGAAAGCGUGGGGAGCAAACAGG
rnacentral:rRNA from 1 species